rnacentral:tRNA from 1 species
GGACCUGUAGUAUAAUUAGUAUAGCCAGUUUCGGCCUGGCUGGUGAGGGUAGAGCCCCUCUGGGUCUU